rnacentral:tRNA from 1 species
GGGAGUGUAGCUCAGUGGUACAGCAUUCACCUGGCAUGCAUGAGGCCCUGGGUUCCAUCCCCAGCACUGCAA